GAGCUGUGAGGAAUUUCUGCGCUCUUAAGAUGGAUGGGGUCCAUCGUCAACAUCUGAUUCUCAGAUGAGAUCUGGUCAGCGCAACUGAGCUC